GACGAACGCUGGCGGCGUGCUUAACACAUGCAAGUCGAGCGGUAAGGCCCUUUCGGGGGUACACGAGCGGCGAACGGGUGAGUAACACGUGGGUGACCUGCCCUCAGCUCUGGGAUAAGCCUGGGAAACCGGGUCUAAUACCGGAUAUGACUCCAUGACGCAUGUUGUGGGGUGGAAAGCCUUGUGCGGCUGAGGAUGGGCCCGCGGCCUAUCAGCUUGUUGGUGGGGUGAUGGCCUACCAAGGCGACGAUCGGUAGCUGGUCUGAGAGGACGACCGGCCACACUGGGACUGAGACACGGCCCAGACUCCUACGGGAGGCAGCAGUGGGGAAUCUUGCGCAAUGGGCGAAAGCCUGACGCAGCGACGCCGCGUGAGGGAUGACGGCCU
rnacentral:rRNA from 1 species